ensembl:lncRNA
CUAAUUGACACAUUAUUAACUUACAAGGUUACGAGAUAAAGCUUAAUGAGUGUUUUAACUGCUGGUCCAUGCAGUGGUGCUGGUGCUCUCCAUCCAGAGUUACUAGAGCAUUUGCUAGCACAACAGUCUUUCUAUUUUAGACGUGGUUUAAUAGCCCGGAGAGGGGAGCUUUCUUACAAAAAUAUUAGAAAUAUUCUAACCCCCACUAUUGAGCACAGGCCAGGACAAAAAUGUAACACCAUUCUUUCUGAGGUCUAAAUAGGGAAACAUGGUAAGUUGAAGAGAGAUAUAUUAUCGCAGCAUAACUCCAAAAGCACAGAAUAGCAAAAAUAUUUCAUCAAAUAAACAGCUCUCCCUUCUCGGGUAUGAAAGAGGCGUUAACCUCACUUGUCUGGCUAGCUUGAUAAUGUGGCUUUGGCGCCGAGCUCGACUUGACCACACGGUUGAGUGUCCUCACUAAAAUGAAGACCCCAAAGCCUCCGAUAGCAGGACAGGAGUGUGCAGCUGCAGUUCUAUAAAUACGAUGUGUCACUUUUAUCACUGGGGCCAGAUGCAUUGUGGGUAGGAAGGAUAUAUUUUCCUCCCUGAUAUCUAAUGCUUCUUUUAACACAUACGUUUGAUGCUGUGCGUGUAAUAUGUUGUCGUUAGCCUGAGACGUUAGCCUACUGAAAUGCAAAGUGUAACCAAUUUCUUUAAAUCACCUGCAGUGUUACAACAAUGAGUAAAAAACAGAUAGAGCCUAGAAUGUUUACCAUAAAGGAACUCAAAUCACUAAAUGGGCCGGGAAAGAAUAAGAAUACCAACGAAGAAGAAAGUGGCAGGAAGAAGAAAUUAAUGGAAUGCCCUGAGUGAAGGAACGGCAGUGCGUCGCCCCAAUCGCCCUUAUGGACAAGCCGCCCCUGAUGACAAUGCUAUGUUCUCUCCCCCGUCCUCUUUCUUUCUUCCCCUAUCUCUGACACUCAACACUCAUGUUUGAGCUAGAUAAUCUUCAUAUGAGGCACUGUUUAGGCCAUAUAUCUAGAAAGCUCGCACAAACACUACUUUUUCUUGUCCAAGCGCUAACUGCUGCUUGUCGAUUUUAUAUUUUACACUCAUUUUUUUUAUUGAAUUCAUGUUUCAAUCUCUACCCUAACACAUGUUUCAAAUGUGAAGGAAUAAUAAUUCAUCAUGUACCUCACAUGUUUUUUUUCAUCGUCAUUUAGAUUUCCCUUAUCUGACGCUUUCAAACAAUAAGGCAGUAAAUAUUUUAGAACAAGUAGUCCUACUGUGUGAAGUUAAAUGCUUGAUUCUCAUAGUCCUUUUUAUAAAAGUGCUGUGUAGAAGUUCACAUAUUUUGUUUAGGACAAAUUUAAAUCAUCCACACAAGGACAGUUGUUUUUUGGUAUGUUACUUUCUGUCCUGCUAUUUGACCUCCUCCACUUGUGAAUGUGUAAGUCUCCAUCAGCUUGGCUUCAUGAGGACCACCUUUCAUCUGUUUUACUCUCAUCACUGGACACUUGUAGCUGAGUAGAAAAUAUGCAUUUUACUCACAUGAAAUAGAUAUCUUCACAUGGACUAACUGCAUUUGAUUAUAAGACAGCUGUGGGAAAGAGGGAGAGAGAUGAAUAUGGAAUCAUUUUUGAAUGAAACAAAAUAAAACAGUAAACAAGUGUUACUUGUUCAAUAUGUGUUAUUAAACCUAGUUAAUGCCUUAAAAGAGGACAAAUUGAUGUUGGAAGAGAUAAAACUGGGACUCAUAAAAUAGGGAAACAACGGAUUGACAGGUUGUGACUGUAUAAACAUAAGUGACUUUAUGGGGAAGGGAGAAAAAAAAUGUAAG